AGAGUUUGAUGGUGGCUCAGGACGAACGCUGGCGGCGUGCUUAACACAUGCAAGUCGAACGAAGAGCGAUGGAAGCUUGCUUCUAUCAAUCUUAGUGGCGAACGGGUGAGUAACGCGUAAUCAACCUGCCCUUCAGAGGGGGACAACAGUUGGAAACGACUGCUAAUACCGCAUACGAUCCAAUCUCGGCAUCGAGACUGGAUGAAAGGUGGCCUCUAUUUAUAAGCUAUCACUGAAGGAGGGGAUUGCGUCUGAUUAGCUAGUUGGAGGGGUAACGGCCCACCAAGGCGAUGAUCAGUAGCCGGUCUGAGAGGAUGAACGGCCACAUUGGGACUGAGACACGGCCCAGACUCUUACGGGAGGCAGCAGUGGAGAAUCUUCCGCAAUGGACGAAAGUCUGACGGAGCAACGCCGCGUGAGUGAUGACGGCCUUCGGGUUGUAAAGCUCUGUUAAUCGGGACGAAUGGUUCUUGUGCGAAUAGUGCGAGGAUUUGACGGUACCGGAAUAGAAAGCCACGGCUAACUACGUGCCAGCAGCCGCGGUAAUACGUAGGUGGCAAGCGUUGUCCGGAAUUAUUGGGCGUAAAGCGCGCGCAGGCGGAUUGGUCAGUCUGUCUUAAAAGUUCGGGGCUUAACCCCGUGAUGGGAUGGAAACUGCCAAUCUAGAGUAUCGGAGAGGAAAGUGGAAUUCCUAGUGUAGCGGUGAAAUGCGUAGAUAUUAGGAAGAACACCAGUGGCGAAGGCGACUUUCUGGACGAAAACUGACGCUGAGGCGCGAAAGCCAGGGGAGCGAACGGGAUUAGAUACCCCGGUAGUCCUGGCCGUAAACGAUGGGUACUAGGUGUAGGAGGUAUCGACCCCUUCUGUGCCGGAGUUAACGCAAUAAGUACCCCGCCUGGGGAGUACGACCGCAAGGUA
rnacentral:rRNA from 1 species